AGAAGUUCGGCUUGGUUUCUCGGUGCAUAAUUCCGGUAAAGUCAUUCGAGCUGUCGUUAUGGACGAUCAGAAUCGAACACAAGCGCCGGAGUCCUUUGAUGUAAUUCACGCGAGUUCCAAAUGCCUAAUUAUAGCGUUUCAACGCAAACGCUCCGAUGCAAAUGAUAAACAGGUCUGCUUGUUGUGGGCUAAAAGUGAUGCCGAAGGAGCUCUUCCCCCUGACUGCAAAGUUAUGUUCGCAAGCUACUGCGAUUCACCCAUAUAUUUUUUUAACAAAGGAGACUCUGUGUGCAAUGGAUAUUAUUUAUAGUGAUCGCAUCUGCAAAGUGUAUUGCAAAAUAAAUGUGUAAAUCUGAGUUCGCGUCAUGACACAUCUUUUAUAGGUUCUGCC
rnacentral:lncRNA from 1 species